rnacentral:rRNA from 1 species
UACGGAGGGUGCAAACGUUGCUCGGAAUCAUUGGGCGUAAAGCGUGCGUAGGCGGCGCAGCAAGUCGGUUGUGAAAGCCCUCGGCUUAACCGAGGAAGUGCAUUCGAAACUACUGCGCUAGAGUGUCGGAGAGGGUGACGGAAUUCCCGGUGUAGAGGUGAAAUUCGUAGAUAUCGGGAGGAACACCUGUGGCGAAGGCGGUCACCUGGACGAUGACUGACGCUGAGGCACGAAAGCGUGGGGAGCAAACAGG